UUAGAACCCUGAGUGUACCUGACCCUCUGACCAAUCAAAUUGUACGAAGUUAUUUGAAAUGUAAAUUAUGGAAUGUAUAAUAACCUGAAAUAUAUGAAAACUGUGGGAUAUAAAUGUAUAUUCUAUUAAUGAAAGUGGAUAGGCUCUGACGAGCAUCGACAGACAGACAGACAGACAGACAGACAGACAGACAGCAUGGCAUUCCUUCUCCUGCAGCUUCUUUAUUGUUCAGGUGGUUACAGUAACGUAAUAGUGGUAAGAGCAGUAACAUUACAGUGGUGUAACAGCGAUAGGGUGGCAAAAUACUGGUUACUUUCCCCAAAUUCUCAGGUUUUCCAGAAAUCCCGGUUUGAGGAUUCCUGGAUUUCCUGUUUAUUUCUGCCAGAUAACGUGAAUCUUCCAACCGGGAUUUCUGAAAAACCUGGGAAUUAUGUUAAAGUUACUGUAAUUUUGCAAACCCUACGCAGCAGUAAUGGUAACAGCACUGGGAGUGACAGGUUACAGCGGAGACAGAGAGACAGAGACACAGGACUCUGGAAAGUUCCAUCAGUCGCACACAAAUAAAGGUUACAAGCAUUUCGCUCCACCCGCAAUAACAUCUGCUAAAUACGUGUAUGUGACCAAUAAAAUGUGAUUUUGAUUUGAAAUACCCUUUGGCGCAUGGAGCGGCUCGUGACAGGGUUGUAGUAGAUUGAUGGUAAUACGUGGUCUGCCUACGCCACCUAGCUGUACAAUUGGGUAUUGUUACUAGCAGACUGGAUGUUCUUUGAAUAUAGUACACUUGAAGAUGUUACAGAGAUAUAUUAAAUCCUACCAACGGGAUGCAUAGAGCACAGAGACACAUUAUAUGCUAGCAACAGGGUACAUUUACAUUUACGUCAUUUAGAUUAGAACCAGCGACCUUUCGGUUACUGGCACAACGCUCUUACCCACUAAGCUACCUGCCGGGUACACAGAGAUAGGCGACAGGGUGGAGAGUUACACAAUCCCCUCAAUCAUAAGAGUAGAUACAUUAUCUAUAAAUCACUAAUCUCUACAUAAUGCAUAAAAUGAUAAUGAAUACCAUGUUAAUAUAUUAUCUCCAAUGAUAAUGUAAGUAAAGCCAACAAUGCCAUGAAAAUAAUGCCAAUAUAACUUGGUUAUUAAAACGAUAAAGCCUUUAUGAACCAGUGUGAUACUUCAUAGCAGAGAUGAGAAAGCCUUUAUGAACCAAUGUGACACUUUUUUCGUUGUGAAAAAAACAAAGCUUCUUUGGCCAAGAUGUUGUUUUACAGCCAGUAACUGAUGAGGUUAACUACAGCCAGUAACUGAUGAGGUUAACUACAGCCAGUAACUGAUGAGGUUAACUACAGCCAGUAACUGAUGAGGUUAACUACAGCCAGUAACUGAUGAGGUUAACUACAGCCAGUAACUGAUGAGGUUAACUACAGCCAGUAACUGAUGAGGUUAACUACAGCCAGUAACUGAUGAGGUUAACUACAGCCAGUAACUGAUGAGGUUAACUACAGCCAGUAACUGAUGAGGUUAACUACAGCCAGUAACUGAUGAGGUUAACUACAGCCAGUAACUGAUGAGGUUAACUACAGCCAGUAACUGAUGAGGUUAACUACAGCCAGUAACUGAUGAGGUUAACUACAGCCAGUAACUGAUGAGGUUAACUACAGCCAGUAACUGAUGAGGUUAACUACAGCCAGUAACUGAUGAGGCAUGUGGUGUGACCAGUCAGUAGUUUAAUGAAGGCUAAUGAUGACCCGGAGUCAUUCUACACAGCGAAAUGAGUCUCAUCACCUCACCUGUAAUACACAUUGAUAUAUUAGCUCUUGAUUCUGAAAUAGUACUUCAACAGAUUACAACCAAGCAGGUAACAAUUUACUGGCAUUUAUGUGAAAUAAAUAUGAAAUAAAUUAAGCCACGCCCCCCGUAAGUAACUUAUGUCAAGUCUAAAUAGGGCCCAACGUGCAUUGACCAUUUUAAAUAAAUGUCAUAAAUAAAAGAUGAGUGUAGCAGGCAGCAUCACCCUCAGCAGACAGACAGCAUCACCCU